rnacentral:rRNA from 1 species
UAUGUAGGUGGCAAGCGUUGUUCGGAAUUAUUGGGCGUAAAGGGCGCGUAGGCGGUUUGUUAAGUCGGUCGUGAAAGCCCGGGGCUCAACCCCGGAGGGUCGACCGAUACUGGCAGACUAGAGUACAGAAGAGGUAACUGGAAUUCCCGGUGUAGCGGUGAAAUGCGCAGAUAUCAGGAGGAACACCGGUGGCGAAGGCGGAUCUCUGGGCCUUACCUGACGCUCAGGCGCGAAAGCUAGGGGAGCGAACAGG